UACAGAGGGAGCGAGCGUUAUCCGGAAUGAUUGGGCGUAAAGCGUCUGUAGGUGGCUUAGAAAGUCUACUGUCAAAUACCAGGGCUCAACCUUGGGCAGGCAGUAGAGUACUUUUAGACUAGAGUGUGGUAGAGGUAGAGGGAAUCCCUAGCGUAACAGUGAAAUGUGUAGAUUUUAGGGAGAACACCAGCGGCGAAGGCGCUCUACUGGGCCAAGACUGACACUGAGAGACGAAAGCUAGGGGAGCGAAUAGG
rnacentral:rRNA from 1 species